GGAGAGAUGGCAGAGUCUGGCUGAAUGCGCUGCACUCGAAAUGCAGUAUACCUUCUAGGUAUCGGGGGUUCAAAUCCCUCUCUCUCCG
rnacentral:tRNA from 1 species